AUGCCUAACACAUGCAAGUCGAACGGUAACAGGUCUUCGGAUGCUGACGAGUGGCGCACGGGUGAGUAACGCGUGGAUAUCUGCCUAUGAGUGGGGGACAACUUUCGGAAACGAAAGCUAAUACCGCAUAAUCUCUACGGAGCAAAGCAGGGGACCUUUCGGGGCCUUGUGCUUAUAGAUGAGUCCGCGUCAGAUUAGCUAGUUGGUGGGGUAAGAGCCUACCAAGGCGAUGAUCUGUAGCUGGUUUGAGAGGAUGAUCAGUCACACUGGAACUGAGACACGGUCCAGACUCCUACGGGAGGCAGCAGUGGGGAAUUUUGCACAAUGGGCGCAAGCCUGAUGCAGCGAUGCCGCGUGUGGGAAGAAGGCCUUUGGGUUGUAAACCACUUUCAAUUGGGAAGAAGGGAUGA
rnacentral:rRNA from 1 species